ACACAGUCGUUUUAUGUCAAACCGUAUUGUUAUCUUGUCUGAAUGUGGUGUUGACUUGUCUAAAUAUAGUCUUACUAUGUCAAACCGUCGUGUUAUCUUUUCCAAAUAUUAUGUUGACUUGUUAAAAUACAGUCUUUUUUUGUCAAACAGUAAUCUUGUCAAAAUGUGAUGUUGACAUAAUAGGACUGCAUUUUGACAAGUCAACAUCAAAUUUAAACAAGACAAUACAACACAGUCGUGUUGUCUUGUCCAAAUGUUUGACAUAAUAAGACUGUGUUUUGAUAAGUCAGCACCACAUUUCGACAAGAUCACAUGACGGUUUGACAACUCAACACCACAUUUGGACAAGAUAACACGACGGUUUGACAUAAUAUGACUGUAUUUUGACAAGUCAACACCACAUUUGGACAAGAUAACACGACGGUUUGACAUUUCGACAAGAUCACAUGACGGUUUGACAACUCAACACCACAUUUGGACAAGAUAACACGACGGUUUGACAUAAUAUGACUGUAUUUUGACAAGUCAACACCACAUUUGGACAAGAUAACACGACGGUUUGACAUAAUAUGACUGUAUUUUGAUAAGUCAACAUCAAAUUUAAACAAGACAAUACGACGGUUUGACAUAAAAGGACUGUAUUUUGACAAGUCAACACCACAUAUUGACAAAAUAUCACGACUGUUUGACAUAAUAAGACACCUUCUAAAGAAAACAGAACGAAAUGUAACUAGAAAUGGCGCGGCAGAGGCCGACGCGUAUCCCCACGCCGAAUGUUUGACCUAGGUGUGCCCCAGGGUUGGUAAUGGGGCCAUGCAUAGCUGAGAUUGACCGUAUUGUCAUAAGAGAAGUUCAUCAUCAAUUAGAAGUGAAUUGGUGUAGAAAUGAAGAAGUUAUAGUAAAAGGCAAUUUUGGGUGGGUGUGACAUAUGUGGGCAGGGCGCCCCAGGGUUGGUAAUUGUGCCAUGCAUAGUUGAGAUUGACCGUAUUGUCAUAAGAGAAGUUCAGUAUCAAUUUGAAGUGAAUCGGUGUAGAAAUGAAGAAAUUAUAGUAAAAGGCAAUUUUGGGCGGGUGUGGUCUAUGUGGGCGGGGCCCCAGGGUUGGUUAUGGGGCCAUGCAUAGUUGAGAUUGACCCUAAUGUCAUAAGAGAAGUUCAGUAUCAAUUUGAAGUGAAUCCGUGUAGAAAUGAAAAAAAUAUAGUAAAUGGAAUUUUUUGGUGGGUGUGGCCUAUGUGGGCGGGCGCCCCAGGGUUGGGAUUGGGGCCAUGCAUAGUUGAGAUUGACCCUAAUGUCAUAACAAAAGUUCAGUAUCAAUUUGAAGUGAAUCCGUGUAGAAAUGAAAAAUUAUAGUAAAUGGAAAUUUUUGGUGGGUGUGGCCUAUGUGGGCGGGGCGCCCCAGGGUUGGGAAUGGGGCCAUGCAUGGUUGAGAUUGACCGUAUUGUCAUAAGAGAGGUCCAGUAUCAAUUUGAAGUGAAUCGGUGUAGAAAUAAAGAAGUAAAUGUAAAAUAACCUAAAAAAAUGAGUGAUAAUUUCUGACGCGGCCCCACCCCAACCGCUAUAACUUUUGACCCAGGGGUCAGAUCAAAAUUCCAAAUAGUGCAGGGUCGCACAUAUGCUCAUAGCUUCCAUGUGUGUAAGUUUCAAGGUUCUAGUGCUUUUAGUGUAGGAGGAGAUAGUGGCCAGGACGGACGGACAGACGGACGGACGGACGGACGGACGGCGGAGAUAACCACAAUAUCCCCA